GUGAGGAAUAUUGGUCAAUGGGCGGGAGCCUGAACCAGCCAAGUCGCGUGAAGGAAGAAGGAUCUAUGGUUCGUAAACUUCUUUUGCAGGGGAAUAAAGUGCAGGACGUGUCCUGUUUUGUAUGUACCCUGAGAAUAAGGAUCGGCUAACUCCGUGCCAGCAGCCGCGGUAAUACGGAGGAUCCGAGCGUUAUCCGGAUUUAUGGGGUUUAAAGGGUGCGUAGGUGGUUUGAUAAGUCAGCGGUGAAAGUUUGCAGCUUAACUGUAAAAAUACCGUUGAAACUGUCUGACUUGAGUGUAAAUGAGGUAGGCGGAAUGCGUGGUGUAGCGGGGAAAUGCAUAGAUAUCACGCAGAACUCCGAUUGCGAAGGCAGCUUACUAAGCUACAACUGACACUGAAGCACGAAAGCGUGGGGAUCAAACAGGAUUAGAUACCCUAGUAGUCC
rnacentral:rRNA from 1 species